CCCUUAGAUGUUCUGGGCUGCACGCGUGCUACACUGAUUAUUUCAACAAGUGUUUUAACUGGAGAGUUUGCGUAAUCCUGAAAUGCUAUCGUGAUGGGAGUAGAGUAUUGUAUUUGUUAAUCUUUAACGAGGAAUUCCUAGUAAGUGUAGGUUUAUAAGUUGUUCUGAUUACGUCCCUGCCCUUUGUACACACCGCCCGUCGCUCCUACCGAUUGAGUGCUCCGGUGAACAAUUUGGACUGCUUUGAUUCGAUUAGAAUUUGAAGCGGAAAGUUUAGUGAACCUUAUCACUUAGAGGAAGGAGAAGUCGUAACA
rnacentral:rRNA from 1 species